UACGAGGGGGGCAAGCGUUGUUCGGAAUUAUUGGGCGUAAAGGGUGCGUAGGCGGUCUGAUAAGUCAUCUGUGAAAUCUAUGGGCUCAACCCAUAGUCUGCAGGCGAAACUGUCGGGCUUGAGUAUGGGAGAGGUGAGUGGAAUUUCCGGUGUAGCGGUGAAAUGCGUAGAUAUCGGAAGGAACACCUGUGGCGAAAGCGGCUCACUGGCUCGUUUCUGACGCUCAGGCGCGAUAGCGUGGGAUCAACAGG
rnacentral:rRNA from 1 species